rnacentral:rRNA from 1 species
GCCCCUUAGUGCUGCAGCUAACGCAUUAAGCACUCCGCCUGGGGAGUACGACCGCAAGGUUGAAACUCAAAGGAAUUGACGGGGGCCCGCACAAGCGGUGGAGCAUGUGGUUUAAUUCGAAGCAACGCGAAGAACCUUACCAGGUCUUGACAUCCUUUGACCACUCUGGAGACAGAGCUUUCCCUUCGGGGACAAAGUGACAGGUGGUGCAUGGUUGUCGUCAGCUCGUGUCGUGAGAUGUUGGGUUAAGUCCCGCAACGAGCGCAACCCUUGAUUUUAGUUGCCAGCAUUUAGUUGGGCACUCUAAAGUGACUGCCGGUGCAAGCCGGAGGAAGGUGGGGAUGACGUCAAAUCAUCAUGCCCCUUAUGACCUGGGCUACACACGUGCUACAAUGGAUAGUACAAAGGGUCGCGAAGCCGCGAGGUGGAGCUAAUCCCAUAAAACUAUUCUCAGUUCGGAUUGUAGGCUGCAACUCGCCUACAUGAAGCCGGAAUCGCUAGUAAUCGUGGAUCAGCAUGCCACGGUGAAUACGUUCCCGGGCCUUGUACACACCGCCCGUCACACCACGAGAGUUUGUAACACCCGAAGUCGGUAGGGUAACCUUUAUGGAGCCAGCCGCCGAAGGUGGGACAGAUAAUUGGGGUGAAGUCGUAACAAGGUAGCCGUAUCGGAAGGUGCGGCUGGAUCACCUCCUUUCUAAGGAA